GAGACAACAGAACUUUAGGAAUCUUCCAGCUCAUUGCCAUGCACUGAUAAGGGACGAGUCUGGAGGGAGCUCAAGGUCAUUGGAAAAAGAGAAGAAUAGCCUGUGCUCUGUCACCCCAUACACCCACUCUCAUGGGGGAGAAAGAAGCAACUGACUGGAUUCCACUUGAUCAGCAUCUCUGUGUCACUUUCUCUUCCUGCUUCUUUCUCAAUAGAAACAGGAACUAUUGAGGGUGGGGCCUGAGGGGUUGGGCAACCACAGAAAGUGACCGAGAUCGCCUUAACUGGAUUAACACUUAAAAGUUUAUGAUUCAGGGACGGAAGAAAAAGGUCAUCCAGAGACUACCCCAUGUGGGGAUCCAUCCCAUACGCAGCCACCAAACCUAGUCACUAUUGCUGAUGCCAAGAAGUGCUUGCUGACAGGAGACAAAUAAGGAUGUCUACUGAGAGGUUCUACCAGAGCCCUACUGAUACAGAUGAGGAUGCUUGCAGCCAACCAUCAGACUGAGCACGGGGAUCACAAUAAAGGAGUUGGAGAAAAGACUGAAGGAGCUGAAGGGGUUUGCACUCCCAUAGGAAGAACAACAGUAUCAACCAACCAGACCCCCCCCCGCCCCCAGAGCUCCCAGGGACUAAAUUACCAACCAAAGAAUACACAUGGAGGGACCCAUGGCUCCAGACACAUAAUGUAGCAGAGGAUGGCCUUGUCCAGCAUCAAUAGGAGGAAAAGCCAUUGGUCCUGGAAAGGCUUGUCUCCCCAAUGUAGGUUAAUGCCAAGGAGUUGAGGUGGGAAUGGGUAGGUGGGAGUGGAAGCAUCCUCAUAGAAGCAGGGCGAGGAGGGAGGGGUAUGAGAGGGGGGAAAGGAGAUAACAUUUGAAAUGUAAAUACAUAAAAUAUCCAAGCAAAAUAAAAUUUAACAAAAUGGCAAAAAAA